rnacentral:miRNA from 1 species
AUUGGCUUGGCCAAAAAGUUCAUUUGGGUUUUUCUGUAAGAUCUUAUAAAAACCCAAACAAACUUUUUGGCCAACCUAAU